AUACGGAGGGUGCAAGCGUUACUCGGAAUCACUGGGCGUAAAGCGCGCGCAGGCGGGCUGAUAAGUUGGAUGUGAAAGCCUACGGCUCAACCGUAGAACUGCAUCCAAAACUGUCAAUCUAGAGUCUGGGAGGGGAAGAUGGAAUUAGUUGUGUAGGGGUAAAAUCCGUAGAGAUAACUAGGAAUACCAAAAGCGAAGGCGAUCUUCUGGAACAGUACUGACGCUGAGGCGCGAAAGCGUGGGGAGCAAACAGGAUUAGAAACCCUUGUAGUCC
rnacentral:rRNA from 1 species